rnacentral:rRNA from 1 species
UCUUUCUUUGCUGGCGACCGGCGCACGGGUGAGUAACACGUAUCCAACCUGCCCUUUACUCGGGGAUAGCCUUUCGAAAGAAAGAUUAAUACCCGAUAGUAUAAUGAUUCCGCAUGGUUUCAUUAUUAAAGGAUUCCGGUAAAGGAUGGGGAUGCGUUCCAUUAGGUUGUCGGUGAGGUAACGGCUCACCAAGCCUUCGAUGGAUAGGGGUUCUGAGAGGAAGGUCCCCCACAUUGGAACUGAGACACGGUCCAA